GAUGAACGCUGGCGGCGUGCCUAAUACAUGCAAGUCGAGCGAACAGACGAGGAGCUUGCUCCUCUGACGUUAGCGGCGGACGGGUGAGUAACAUGUGGAUAACCUACCUAUAAGACUGGGAUAACUUCGGGAAACCGGAGCUAAUACCGGAUAAUAUAUUGAACCGCAUGGUUCAAUAGUGAAAGACGGUUUUGGUGUCACUUAUAGAUGGAUCCGCGCCGCAUUAGCUAGUUGGUAAGGUAACGGGUUACCAAGGCAACGAGGCGUAGCCGAGCUGAGCGGGUGAUCGGCCACACUGGAACUUAGACACGGUCCAGACUCCUACGGGAGGCAGCAGUAGGGAAUCUGCCGCAAUGGGCGGAAGCCUGACGGAGCAACGCCACGUGAGUUAUGACGGUCUUCGGAUCGUAAAACUCUGUUAUGAGGGAAGAACAAAUGUGUAAGUAACUAUGCACGUCUUGACGGUACCUAAUCAGAAAGCCACGGCUAACUACGUG
rnacentral:rRNA from 1 species